rnacentral:rRNA from 1 species
CAGAUUGAACGCUGGCGGCAGGCCUAACACAUGCAAGUCGAGCGCUAGAGAGGUGCUUGCACCUCUUGAGAGCGGCGGACGGGUGAGUAAUGCCUAGGAAUCUGCCUAGUGGUGGGGGAUAACGUUCGGAAACGGACGCUAAUACCGCAUACGUCCUACGGGAGAAAGCGGGGGACCUUCGGGCCCUCGCGCCAUUAGAUGAGCCUAGGU